rnacentral:rRNA from 1 species
AUUGAACGCUGGCGGCAGGCCUAACACAUGCAAGUCGAGCGGAUGAAGGGUGCUUGCUCCUGGAUUCAGCUGCGGACGGGUGAGUAAUGCCUAGGAAUCUGCCUGGUAGUGGGGGAUAACGUCCGGAAACGGGCGCUAAUACCGCAUACGUCCUGAGGGAGAAAGUGGGGGAUCUUCGUACCUCACGCUAUCAGAUGAGCCUAGGUCGGAUUAGCUAGUUGGUGGGGUAAAGGCCUACCAAGGCGACGAUCCGUAACUGGUCUGAGAGGAUGAUCAGUCACACUGGAACUGAGACACGGUCAAGACUCCUACGGGAGGCAGCAGUGGGGAAUAUUGGACAAUGGGCGAAAGCCUGAUCCAGCCAUGCCGCGUGUGUGAAGAAGGUCUUCGGAUUGUAAAGCACUUUAAGUUGGGAGGAAGGGCAGUAAGUUAAUACCUUGCUGUUUUGACGUUACCAACAGAAUAAGCACCGGCUAACUACGUG